rnacentral:rRNA from 1 species
GCUGGCAGGUGGCGCUCUCACCCUGUGACAUACCUAAAACGUUGCUUCGGCGGGAACAGACGGCCCUGUAACAACGGGCCGCCCCCGCCAGAGGACCCCUAACUCUGUUUUUAUAAUGUUUUUCUGAGUAAACAAGCAAAUAAAUUAAAACUUUCAACAACGGAUCUCUUGGCUCUGGCAUCGAUGAAGAACGCAGCGAAAUGCGAUAAGUAAUGUGAAUUGCAGAAUUCAGUGAAUCAUCGAAUCUUUGAACGCACAUUGCGCCCGCCAGUAUUCUGGCGGGCAUGCCUGUUCGAGCGUCAUUACAACCCUCAGGCCCCCGGGCCUGGCGUUGGGGAUCGGCGGAAGCCCCCUGUGGGCACACGCCGUCCCUCAAAUACAGUGGCGGUCCCGCCGCAGCUUCCAUUGCGUAGUAGCUAACACCUCGCAACUGGAGAGCGGCGCGGCCAUGCCGUAAAACACCCAACUUCUGAAUGUUGACCUCGAAUCAGGUAGGAAUACCCGCUGAACUUAAGCUCGAAAAAGGGGGGAAGAGAAA